GUGUCAGCAGCCGCGGUAAUACGUAGGGUGCGAGCGUUAAUCGGAAUUACUGGGCGUAAAGCGUGCGCAGGCGGUUUUGUAAGACAGCUGUGAAAUCCCCGGGCUUAACCUGGGAACUGCGGUUGUGACUGCAAGGCUAGAGUACGGCAGAGGGAGGUGGGAUUCCACGUGUAGCAGUGAAAGGCGUAGAGAUGUGGAGGAAAAACGGUGGCGAAGGCAGCCUCCUGGGCCAGUACUGACGCUCAUGCACGAAAGCGUGGGGAGCAAACAGGAUUAGAUACCCUGGUAGUCCACGCCCUAAACGAUGUCGACUAGUUGUUCGGAGAGGAGACUCUCUGAGUAACGCAGCUAACGCGUGAAGUCGACCGCCUGGGGAGUACGGUCGCAAGAUUAAAACUCAAAGGAAUUGGCAG
rnacentral:rRNA from 1 species